rnacentral:rRNA from 1 species
UGGGGAAUUUUGGACAAUGGGCGAAAGCCUGAUCCAGCAAUGCCGCGUGUGUGAAGAAGGCCUUCGGGUUGUAAAGCACUUUUGUCCGGAAAGAAAUCCUUGGCUCUAAUACAGUCGGGGGAUGACGGUACCGGAAGAAUAAGCACCGGCUAACUACGUGCCAGCAGCCGCGGUAAUACGUAGGGUGCAAGCGUUAAUCGGAAUUACUGGGCGUAAAGCGUGCGCAGGCGGUCCGCUAAGACAGAUGUGAAAUCCCCGGGCUUAACCUGGGAACUGCAUUUGUGACUGGCGGGCUAGAGUAUGGCAGAGGGGGGUAGAAUUCCACGUGUAGCAGUGAAAUGCGUAGAGAUGUGGAGGAAUACCGAUGGCGAAGGCAGCCCCCUGGGCCGAUACUGACGCUCAUGCACGAAAGCGUGGGGAGCAAACAGGAUUAGAUACCCUGGUAGUCCCACGCCCUAAACGAUGUNAACUAGUUGUCGGGUCUUCAUUGACUUGGUAAACGUAGCUAACGCGUG